UGCUCUGGUUUAAGAAACGGAUCCUGCAAAUUCCAAAUAUAUAGCAACUUGUUAGAAUGUGUAAGAUUGCUCGCUGUCAUGAAGAACUCUGGUUUCAAAAACUAGCAGUUUAUGAAAUAAUCCUGCUAUAAGCAAUUAGUUAUUAGUUCAAGCAGGCAAGUAGACAUAAAACCCCAUUUGUUCUUGGUCUAAGCAUAAUAUGCUCUCCCCAGCACAUAAGAACAUGUAAAAGAAUGGAUAUUAUGCACAAUUGAGUGAAAUUUCAGCUUCAAUUGCUUCCAAACAUCAAAUCUACCAUUGAACAAAGAAAAUCUUCAAAAAUUCUAAAUCGCUUGAACAAGGAUCGAUAACAACUACUCCAAAAGCCUCAUCCUUUGUUUUACAACUCCAUAAAACAAAUCUAAUAUUUACG
rnacentral:misc_RNA from 1 species